rnacentral:rRNA from 1 species
AUUGAACGCUGGCGGCAGGCCUAACACAUGCAAGUCGAGCGGAUGAAGGGAGCUUGCUCCUGGAUUCAGCGGCGGACGGGUGAGUAAUGCCUAGGAAUCUGCCUGGUAGUGGGGGAUAACGUCCGGAAACGGGCGCUAAUACCGCAUACGUCCUGAGGGAGAAAGUGGGGGAUCUUCGGACCUCACGCUAUCAGAUGAGCCUAGGUCGGAUUAGCUAGUUGGUGGGGUAAAGGCCUACCAAGGCGACGAUCCGUAACUGGUCUGAGAGGAUGAUCAGUCACACUGGAACUGAGACACGGUCCAGACUCCUACGGGAGGCAGCAGUGGGGAAUAUUGGACAAUGGGCGAAAGCCUGAUCCAGCCAUGCCGCGUGUGUGAAGAAGGUCUUCGGAUUGUAAAGCACUUAAAGUUGGGAGGAAGGGCAGUAAGUUAAUACCUUGCUGUUUUGACGUUACCAACAGAAUAAGCACCGGCUAACUUCGU